rnacentral:rRNA from 1 species
AACGAACGCUGGCGGCAGGCCUAACACAUGCAAGUCGAGCGGACCCUUCGGGGUUAGCGGCGGACGGGUGAGUAACGCGUGGGAAUAUGCCCUUCUCUACGGAAUAGUCCUGGGAAACUGGGGGUAAUACCGUAUACGCCCUUUGGGGGAAAGAUUUAUCGGGGAAGGAUUAGCCCGCGUUGGUUUAGGUAGUUGGUGGGGUAAUGGCCUACCAAGCCGACGAUCCAUAGCUGGUUUGAGAGGAUGAUCAGCCACACUGGGACUGAGACACGGCCCAGACUCCUACGGGAGGCAGCAGUGGGGAAUCUUAGACAAUGGGGGCAACCCUGAUCUAGCCAUGCCGCGUGAGUGAUGAAGGCCUUAGGGUUGUAAAGCUCUUUCAGCUGGGAAGAUAAUGACGGUACCAGCAGAAGAAGCCCCGGCUAACUCCGUG